CCCGGGUAGGGUGCUUACACAUGCAAGUCGAGCGAUGAAGCCACUUCGCGUGUGGGAUUAGCUGGCGAACGGGUGAGUAACACGUGGGCAAUCUGCCCUUCACUCUGGGACAAGCCCUGGAAACGGGGUCUAAUACCGGAUACGACCUGCCGAGGCAUCUCGGUGGGUGGAAAGCUCCGGCGGUGAAGGAUGAGCCCGCGGCCUAUCAGCUUGUUGGUGAGGUAACGGCUCACCAAGGCGACGACGGGUAGCCGGCCUGAGAGGGCGACCGGCCACACUGGGACUGAGACACGGCCCAGACUCCUACGGGAGGCAGCAGUGGGGAAUAUUGCACAAUGGGCGAAAGCCUGAUGCAGCGACGCCGCGUGAGGGAUGACGGCCUUCGGGUUGUAAACCUCUUUCAGCAGGGAAGAACCGAAAGUGACGGUACCUGCCUAAGAAGCGCCGGCUAACUACGUGCCAGCAGCCGGGGGUAAUACGCCCCGGGUAACUACCUGCCCGCAGCCCCGGUAAUACAAA
rnacentral:rRNA from 1 species